GCCGGGCGUGGUGGCUCACGCCUAUGAUCCCAGCACUUUGGGAGGCUGAGGUGGGCGGAUCACCUGAGGUCAGGAGUUCAAAGCCAGCCUGACCAACAUGGUGAAACCCCAUCUCUA
ensembl:misc_RNA Metazoa_SRP Metazoan signal recognition particle RNA